UCUGGAAGGACUAGUGGUUAGGCCUUGGCGCUCUCGUCACAGCAGCCCAGGUUCAAAUCCCGGCCAGUG